rnacentral:rRNA from 1 species
UACGUAGGGGGCUAGCGUUGUCCGGAAUCAUUGGGCGUAAAGCGCGUGUAGGCGGCCCGGUAAGUCCGCUGUGAAGGUCGGGGGCUCAACCCUCGAAUGCCGGUGGAUACUGUCGGGCUAGAGUACGGAAGAGGCGAGUGGAAUUCCUGGUGUAGCGGUGAAAUGCGCAGAUAUCAGGAGGAACACCCAUUGCGAAGGCAGCUCGCUGGGACGUUACUGACGCUGAGACGCGAAAGCGUGGGGAGCAAACAGG